UAGCCUUGACAUACUACAGAAUUUGACAGAGAUGUUGGAGUGCCUUCGGGAGCUGUAAUACAGGUGCUGCACGGCUGUCGUCAGCUCGUGUCGUGAGAUGUUGGGUUAAGUCCCGCAACGAGCGCAACCCUCGUCCUUAGUUACUAACGGUUCGGCCGAGGACUCUAAGGAGACUGCCUUCGUAAGGAGGAGGAAGGUGAGGACGACGUCAAGUCAUCAUGGCCCUUACGGCUAGGGCAACACACGUGCUACAAUGGUUAGGACAAUGAGAAGCGAUACCGCGAGGUGGAGCAAAUCUAUAAACCUAAUCUCAGUUCGGAUAGCAGUCUGCAACUCGACUGGUUGAAGCUGGAAUCACUAGUAAUCGUAAAUCAGCUAUGUUACGGUGAAUACGUUCCCGGGUCU
rnacentral:rRNA from 1 species